GACGAACGCUGGCGGCGCGCUUAACACAUGCAAGUCGAACGGAAAGGCCUGCUUUCCCUUGUGGAUUGCGGGUACUCGAGUGGCGAACGGGUGAGUAACACGUGAGUGAUCUGCCCCCAACUUGGGUAUAAGCCUGGGAAACUGGGUCUAAUUCCCGAUAGGACUGCAGGGUGGUGCCUGUGGUGGAAAACAAUUUUCUAGUGGUUGGGGAUGAGCUCGCGGCCUAUCAGCUUGUUGGUGGGGUAAUGGCCUACCAAGGCGGCGACGGGUAGCCGGCCUGAGAGGGUGGACGGCCACAUUGGGACUGAGAUACGGCCCAGACUCCUACGGGAAGCAGCAGUGGGGAAUAUUGCACAAUGGGCGGAAGCCUGAUGCAGCGACGCCGCGUGGGGGAUGACGGCCUUCGGGUUGUAAACUCCUUUCGACCGCGAGGAAGCCACCUGGUUGGAAGGGUGGUGACGGUAGUGGUAGAAGAAGCACCGGCUAACUACGUG
rnacentral:rRNA from 1 species